UAAGGUAGCGAAAUUCCUUGUCGGGUAAGUUCCGACCUGCACGAAUGGCGUAACGACUUCCCCGCUGUCUCAAAUGUGGACUCAGCGAAAUUGAAUUGUCUGUGAAGAUGCAGACUUCCCGCGGUUAGACGGAAAGACCCCAUGCACCUUUACUACAACUUCGCACUGGCAUCAGGAUUGCGAUGUGCAGGAUAGGCGGUAGGCUUUGAAGCGGGGACGCCAGUUCCCGUGGAGCCAUCCUUGAGAUACCGCCCUUCGCACUCUUGAUGUCUAACCGCGGCCCGUUAUCCGGGUCCGGGACCCUGCGUGGUGGGUAGUUUGACUGGGGCGGUCGCCUCCCAAACAGUAACGGAGGCGCGCGAAGGUUGGCUCAGAGCGGUCGGAAAUCGCUCGUUGAGUGCAAUGGCAGAAGCCAGCCUGACUGCAAGACUGACAAGUCGAGCAGAGUCGAAAGACGGCCAUAGUGAUCCGGUGGUCCCGAGUGGAAGGGCCAUCGCUCAACGGAUAAAAGGUACGCUGGGGAUAACAGGCUGAUGAUGCCCAAGAGUCCAUAUCGACGGCAUCGUUUGGCACCUCGAUGUCGGCUCAUCUCAUCCUGGGGCUGGAGCAGGUCCCAAGGGUAUGGCUGUUCGCCAUUUAAAGAGGUACGUGAGCUGGGUUUAGAACGUCGUGAGACAGUUCGGUCCCUAUCUGCCGUGGACGUUUGAGAUUUGAGAGGGGCUGCUCCUAGUACGAGAGGACCGGAGUGGACGAACCUCUGGUGUUCCGGUUGUCACGCCAGUGGCAUUGCCGGGUAGCUAUGUUCGGAAUAGAUAACCGCUGAAAGCAUCUAAGCGGGAAACUAGCCUCAAGAUGAGAUCUCACUGGAACCUUGAGUUCCCUGAAGGGCCGUCGAAGACUACGACGUUGAUAGGUUGGGUGUGUAAGCGCUGUGAGGUGUUGAGCUAACCAAUACUAAUUGCCCGUGAGGCUUGA
rnacentral:rRNA from 1 species